rnacentral:rRNA from 1 species
AUGGCUGUCGUCAGCUCGUGUCGUGAGAUGUUGGGUUAAGUCCCGCAACGAGCGCAACCCUUGCCUUUAGUUGCCAGCAUUAAGUUGGGCACUCUAGAGGGACUGCCGAGGAUAACUCGGAGGGAAGGUGGGGAUGACGUCAAAUCAUCAUGCCCCUUAUGCUUAGGGCUACACACGUGCUACAAUGGGUGGUACAGAGGGUUGCCAAGCCGCGAGGUGGAGCUAAUCCCUUAAAGCCAUUCUCAGUUCGGAUUGUAGGCUGAAACUCGCCUACAUGAAGCUGGAGUUACUAGUAAUCGCAGAUCAGAAUGCUGCGGUGAAUGCGUUCCCGGGUCUUGUACACACCGCCCGUA